GGAAUUCCGUCAGAAAAGGUCGUCAGUAUUCCGUCGGAAUAUACUGACGGACACCAAUUCCGUCGGAAUUUCAAUUUAUCCGGGAAAACCAAACCGCGUGAAAAUUUUCGCGAACCGCCAAUUGGUAUAUAUUUAAUUAUCCCGACGGAAUACUGAUGAACCUGUGUCCGUCGGAAACAUUAAAUAUAAUUACCCUUCUUCUUCCUUCUUUGUUAUUUCCGCCUCCGCCUCUCUCUCAAUCCUCUCCGCGAUUUCUCUCCCUUUCACGGCGAUUCCGACCAUUCUCGAGCUCCCAUCACCGACGAAUCCUCUUCUCACCCUCAUAUCUCUUCCCCAAACCCCAAAUCAUGUAAGAAUCAUCCCAACCUUGUUUUAUCUCAAUUGUUUAGGGUUUUGGAAGUUAGAUCUCGGAUUUUAGGUUGUUUGAUUGAAAAUUUUAGGAUUGAAUGGAUAGUUUAGGAUAUAUAAGUUAGGAUUGUUGUUUUAGUUUUUUUUGGAAUUAUUUUGUGUUUUUGUUAAAAUUCAAAAUGUUUUACUAUUUUUAAAACGUUUUUUGAUUUUUAAAAACGUUUUUCAAGUUUCCAGUAAUAAACUAUAUAUAAUAAAACAUUUUUUAAAAUUUUUAAAAAUAUUUAACAACAUUUUUCUAUAUUUAUAAUUUUUUUUUAAUUUUGUAUACAUAUAUAUAUAAAUCAUGUAUAAUAAAAAAUUUUAAAAUUUUUAUAAUUUUUUAUAAGGUUCCAGUAAUAAACUAUGUAUAAUAAUAGCUUUAAUAGUUUUUUUUAAAAAGUUUAUAAAACUUUUUGUAAAUAUAUAAAUGAAAACAUUAAAAAUAGAAAUGAUUUGAAAAGAUUUUGAUGUAUUAAUUUUUUUUUUAGGUCCGAGGAUGAAUCCUGCCCCGCAGCCCGUCUUCGACGUAG
rnacentral:lncRNA from 1 species